UGUUGAAGAUCCCAUCUGUCUCAUUGCCUGUUGUUGAUCAUAAUGUUGUCAUAACGUUAAACUAACCACAAUAUUAGGGACAGCCAUAGCUCGAUCACCAAAUAUUUCGAUUCACAUCGUCAGAGUUGUUCAUUUUUCGAACCAUACGUUUAUUAUUACGCGUGUAUCUUGCAGUGGUGCACAAUGAGGGUUGAUAUCUGAAAUAUCUUUAUAACAGUGUAAAACAAAGGCCAUUUUUUUUUCUCCGAGUAUUGACCUUUUAGAUGUACAAGUGUGCCUAAUAUUGUGGCAGAUUAGUGUAUCUAAUGUGUGUGUGCGUGUGGUUCUAUUAAAUCACCCGAGCAGCACAAACUGAUGAUGAUGGGAGUCAAGCGCUCUCUCCACUUUAUUGCAGAGUAAAUCUCCUCGUUAUCAGUUGCUGUCAGGUUUCCUGCGCGCGUGUGUGUGUGUGUGUGUGUGUGUGUGGGUGUGUAGUCCGCUGAUAAACAGAUUUCCCCUGAAGACAAAUUUCUUACAGAAGACGAGUUCACCCCCACCCGUCAGAGUGUGAAAUCGUGUGUGGAAAUGGGAAAAUGGCCUUUCCCCCGGAAUAAGCUGGUUCUGAUGAUGUCAUACAAGAUGCGGCACACCCUACGUCCCCGGUAGCAUCGGCACCAAAAAGGCCCACCGCAACCUUUUCCUGAAAUGCAACAAGCGCCCGCAAAAAUGCAGCCCCUUGAAUUAAGCCAGUUUCACUUAGCAGCAUGAAAGUCGUGACCGAAGCGGACACGACGGAGACGCGUGAUGUCAUCCUCCUGCGGGGCUUCGCACAUUUCGCUCGCUCACGCUGACACGCCGCACAAAGUGUGAUCGCUCCCGCGUGGCUUGAUGAUUCACAGCGUACCAUCAAUCAUCCGCAAAGAGCACAAAGAGCGAGGUCACAGCGUUAGUGUAAAAAAAAAAGAAAAGAAAAAAAAGUCAAAUAUUGUGCAGGAUGGAGCUUGUCUUAACUGUCUGAGAGAAGAUAAAUAAGAGAAUUAAGAAUCAUUUGUACUAUUUGGAGGACAAGCGCUGUUAAAUUUUGAUGGAGGUCAGAGUUACUGGAUGUUGUCAUUGACCUAGACUUUUGGAUAUUUGAUAUCAUAUUAUUUUAUGAUGACACCAUGUGCCGUGCAAAUACAAUGACAAAAACUGAAAUUGUGUCGUCCAUCUGCCUCGUAUAAGUGCUCUAACUUUGUUAGCAAAGGGGCAAACGCUGUAGUUUGUUUUUGGAGGACCGCAGGAAGUGGCCAAAAUGACCCUGCAAUGGCUGCUUCAAAACAAAAUGGCAGACUUGCUGUGUGUCUUGAGACACUUUUGUUGGUCUACUCAUCACAGACAUGCCUACCAAAUUUCACAUUGCUAAGUCAAACUGGCUUCGGUGGGGGGGCUGAAUUUCCCCAAAUGCCGCGAUGUUUGUCGCUACCGAACUCCUAUCUUCACCAGGAUCCAAACGUGGAUUUCGUUGCACGCUCUGACUUAAACGAUCCGAAUGAGGCUUCGCCCACUUUUGUGUUCACUUCAGGACGACUGCAGCAGCAUUCAGAACGACAGAGAACAAAGCGGCUUAUUCACAGACUCACACGGGCUCUUCUAUCACUAAGGGAAUAAUAAGUAAGGAGCCCAAUAAGCCGGGAAUAUAUAUAUAUAGAUAUAUAUAUAUAUUUUAAAAAGUAUGCGUUCCGUUUCAGCAACCUCAGCGGAGUUCAGGUGAAUGCCAAUUUCUUCUACUUCCUUUGUCCUUCACCUCCUUCGAUGUGGUCCGAGUUGUCCUCAAUGGACGUUGGACUUAGCUUAGCGAGCCGCAAUAGCACAGAGCAGACAGUCGGGGGGGCCAGUAAACCACCAAAAAGGUGGUUUUGUGUGUGGAUGUUACAACUUUUGUAACCAAACACUUUGGUACAGUCCUCAUUUGUUACUGUCUUAGGGUUUCCAUUUUUGGCAUUUUCUCUCGAGACCAUUUUCAUCAUUAACCUUCUUCUUGAGGCAAUUUGGGCCACAGAAGCAUUUUUGUUCUUUUUUGUGUGUGUGUGUGUGUGUGCGCAGGCUUUCUUCCUAAAAGAGGCUUGCUUUCGCCUUCGCUCCAGUGAUGAAUGAGGUGUCAGCGUCCUUCAACGCACCCCAUUAGUCGAGUUUUACCGCGGAAAUAUAUCGGAUUCGUAGUCGUUCAUCCUCGUCAAUGUUGAGAUUUGUUUUGGGCGGUACGGAAGCCGCUGCAUCUUCGUCAGUUUUGAAUCAUUUAUUACUCACGUCCACAUCCCGUCGCGAAAAUAGAUGACGCGUCAUAAACGCUUCAUAAUAAUUUCAAAUAAUUAUUUGAAAAAAUAAAAUACAGAUACUUCAUGUUUUGAUCAUAUGGGUAGGAGCAAAAUCAUGCAUUGUAAACAUGCAUUAUACAUAGGGUGAAGGGCUUUCCAGAAUUUUGAGGUCAACUUUGGGGGUGCGUAUUAUACACGGGUGCGCAUUACACACGAGAAAUUACGGCACUCACUAUUACGCACAAAACUCUAAUAACGCACUGCCAAAAGAUAAAGAUGAAUUGUAAUGAACUUGCUCUGUUUUUCUUCUCUUUUUUUUUUU